rnacentral:rRNA from 1 species
GCAAGUCGAGGGGUAACAUUGUAGCUUGCUACAGAUGACGACCGGCGCACGGGUGCGUAACGCGUAUAGAACCUACCUUUUACAGAGGGAUAGCCUUUAGAAAUGAAGAUUAAUACCUUAUAGUAUUGAGACUUGGCAUCGAGUUUUAAUUAAAGAUUUAUCGGUAAAAGAUGGCUAUGCGUCCUAUUAGUUAGUUGGUAAGGUAACGGCUUACCAUGGCAAUGAUAGGUAGGGGUCCUGAGAGGGAGAUC